rnacentral:lncRNA from 1 species
GUAAAAUGUAACUAUAAAAAUAAUAACCAUUACAAAUAUUUAUUGAUAUAUGGCGUUAAUGAAAUUAAUGAGUAAACUAGGGGUAGUAUACUAUUAGUACUAACUUAGUAUUAAUGGGUUUAUCCGAACAGGGUGUCCGAAUGACGAUAAUUAUUAUGGAAUUUCUUUUCUACCUCCAAAGCCUGGGUUUUUUUUUUUUACAUUUCCUCUUUAAAUAUUUGGGAAGGUUUAAAAAUAAAUACCCCAAAACAUUUCUAGUAAAACCUUCGUACAAAUCAAUGUCAGAUUUAUGUAAAUUUUUGCACGGUUUUAACGUUUAAACGUUUAAACGUUUAAGAGGACGUUAUACCCGUAUCUUCUGUCUCCGUCUAACUACCAGAUAACAUGUAAAAACAAUACUUACCCAGAAUAAAUGAAACUAGCUUAAUUUUGGUUUUAGAGUAAAAGCACCUAAUAUGAAAUUUAUAGAACAAUAUUUUAAAAGGAAUGUCAUAGGGUUUUUAUAUUAUUCAAAAUAUACAGCUCGAUAUAAAAGAUACAAAAAUAUUAAUUUUUUUUAUUUUUUAAAUAACUGUAACUUUUUUAAUAGUUCAUAAUUCAAAAAACACCUAUGACAUUCCCUCCAAAAUAUUAUUCAAUAUAAAUUGCAUAAUAGGAACUUUUACUCUAAAAUCAAAAUUAAGCUAGUUUUACUUCUUCUACGUAAGCAUUGUUUUUGUAUGUUACCCGGUAGUUGGACUGAGACAAUAGAUGCGGGUAUACAUUCUCUUAAUGUCACCAGAAUGAAACAAAUUACUUGACACGACUAUUUGUAAGAAUACUUUCCAGGAAAUACCAUAGAAUAUGUAUUUUUAAACUUACUCGUAAAUAGUCAAAAGUAAAGAAAAAACCCAAGUUAAAGGAUAAUAAACAUAUUACAAAAAUAGCUUCAUUUAAACACUCCACUAAAUACGCACUUACCAAUUUACUAAAUCAUUUAAGAAACAUCCUGAAUAAGUAAUAGAUAUUGAACAAAUAAGUGGAUAAUAUUAGUAUAUUACCUACAUAAAUUCGUUGAGUAUAAGAAUAAAAUUAAAUCAGAAGUGUACAGUGAUGAGUGCUCAAAAUAUUUAGCGUUGCGACAAAAUUAAUGGGUCACUUUUUUUUUUCUAGAAGCAUAUAUUAUACUAGAUACAUAUUUGAUAAAUAUUUCUGUUAUGAGGUGACAAAACUCAAACCCAAGAUAAUUUUUGAAAACACCAAUACGAGUUUAAUAAAAUGAACAACGCUCGUGAAUACUCGUAUACCUAGUAUCUAUCAUACUACAUAUUGUUAUUAAACCGUAACGUGAUGUGGAUUGUUUUAAAUACUACCUAACCUAAUAGCUAAGUGUAAAACAAUGUUUUUAUAAUAUCUGUUAGUUAUAUUUUAAGUGCAAUUAGAACAAGUUGUAUUUUAUGCAAAAUAUGCAGUUUUGUUUCUCCGUUGCAUCUUGGUCAAUAGCAAUAUAAUUAUUUCGAAACAAAUACUAAAUAAACACUAUAUUAUCAUAUAGUAAAAAUAAUAACAGCACAAAAAUUGCCAAAAUUAGUUUGCAAGUUAGGAGAAAAUCAUAUUUUACCCAAAUGCAAAUCGUAGUUAUACGUGUCAUACGAGUGUAUAGUUUUGAUUUACCUAGUUAUGUGUGUUUAAUUUUAAUACUCAAACUCAAUAGAUACUGGUUCUAUAUACAAUAGUUUUAUAAUUCCACACCCAAUGGGUUGAUGAAAAUACAAUUAGGUACAAUUAGGUUAAAAAGUAGUAUUUUAUUUUAAUAAAAAGGUUUUAUUUUUUUUAUAUAUAUAUAUGUAUUUCAAAAAUAUUUACCUUACAUCCCAAGGGAUCCGUGAUCUACAAAAAAUAAAUAAAGGUUAAGACCCUCUGUAAUAAACGAACCAUAUCUUUAUUACUACUCCUGUUUUGAAAUAUUAUUAAUGAUAAUAAUAUUGUUAACCCUAUGUAAAAAAAAAAAAAAAAAUGUAAGUAAUAUAAUAUAAUAUUUAUUCAUUGUUGUAUUUUCUAUUAACUGUUAAUAUUAUAUUAUAUUAAUAUACGUUAUUAUAUUUACGUUUUUUAACUGUGUUAAUAACUUUAGAUCAUUUGUUAUACUUAAUUUAAAAAAAAUUGGCGAU